GCUGGCGGCGUGCUUAUCACAUGCAAGUCGAACGGUGAACACGGAGCUUGCUCUGUGGGAUCAGUGGCGAACGGGUGAGUAACACGUGAGCAACCUGCCCCUGACUCUGGGAUAAGCGCUGGAAACGGCGUCUAAUACUGGAUAUGUGACGUGACCGCAUGGUCUGCGUCUGGAAAGAAUUUCGGUUGGGGAUGGGCUCGCGGCCUAUCAGCUUGUUGGUGAGGUAAUGGCUCACCAAGGCGUCGACGGGUAGCCGGCCUGAGAGGGUGACCGGCCACACUGGGACUGAGACACGGCCCAGACUCCUACGGGAGGC
rnacentral:rRNA from 1 species